rnacentral:misc_RNA from 1 species
GAUGAAGAACGCAGCGAAAUGCGAUAAGUAGUGUGAAUUGCAGAAGUACCGUGAAUCAUCGAAUCUUUGAACGUAAAUUGCACCCUCUGGUCUUCCGGGGAGUAUGCCUGUUUGAGGGUCGCUUAACAAACCAUCGAUUUCGUUGAUUUUUUUUUAAAAAAGUGAUGUUUAUCGGAUUUGAGCCGUCUUUUUUUUUUUAUAUUUAAGUGGCUUAAAAUUGAUUUUUUUUGGUACGAUCGAAGCGUAUUUUUAUGAUCAAUUUUUGGUUAAAGAAACGCACACGUACCGUUAUUUAUAUGAUGUAAUACGUUUGACUAUCGGAUUUAGUUCAUUCGUAUACGAUAUUUUUCAAUAUUUGACCUCAAAUCAGGUAAGAACACCCGCUGAACUUAAGCAUAUCAAUAAGCGGAGGA